CUGAAAACAACGUUUGUUACACGCGAUAUGCAGGAAUUUCUUUUUUAAGAAAAAAAAAAAAAAAGGAAAAUAAAAAUAAAAACGAAAACGAAGAAGAGAUGAAGAAUCAAGACGAUGUUGAGAGACUACAAUAAACGACCGAUUGUAGACGGAACAUUCGGCACACGACUAAAGGAGCGCUAAUUAAUGUCUUUAAAUCAAGCUCAACCAUCAGUCACGGUGCGAGCACACAGAAUCAUUCAAUUGGUCAGAAUGGUUUCGCCGCUGUGAAUUUGUUAACGUCGACCUACGUAACGAUAUAACAUAAGAGCAAACGUCAAAAUUUCAAUCUUCCGAGACUAUGUUAUGCUAUCAAAAGACAUACGUACAUCCAACGAUGAAUUCUAACGAUGAAAAAAACAGAGAACAUGAUGGAAAUGACUUUAUACGUAUAGGAAUGGAUAAAAGAUUAGAAACGGAAGAAUGUUAGAACCAUUUUAGCAUAGUAGGAGAGAAACGAUAUUGAUUAAAGAAAGAAGGAAAAAAUCAAAGUCGCUAUUGAGAAAGCGCAAGAAGCAGCGUAUAAUAGAGAAAAAUACGGUAGAAAGUAAGAAAGCGAGGAAGCGAAGCAGCAAGGAUGCAGGGGGAAGGUUAGCUAGUGCAUUGA
rnacentral:lncRNA from 1 species